rnacentral:rRNA from 1 species
AACGAACGCUGGCGGCGUGCCUAAUACAUGCAAGUAGAACGCAGUUGCUAACGGGUGAGUAACGCGUAGGUAACUGCCUCAUAGCGGGGGAUAACUAUUGGAAACGAUAGCUAAUACCGCUUACUGUGAGAUGUACCUUCGUGGUAUUAGCUAGUUGGUGAGGUAAAGGCUCACCAAUGCGACGGUACAUAGCCGACCUAGGAGGGUGAUCGGACAAAAUGGGGCUGAAGAAAGGGCCAAGCGCCUACGGGAGGGAGCAGUAGGGAAACUUGGGCAAUGGACGGAAAGCUGACCGAGCAAAGGCGCGGGAGUGAAGAAAGUUUUCGGGUCGUAAAGCUCUGUUGUUAGAGGAGCGGUAACUGACCAGAAAGGGACGGCUAACUACGUGCCAGCAGCCGCGGUAAUUC